rnacentral:rRNA from 1 species
GGCGAACGGGUGCGUAAUACGUAGGAAUCUACCCUGAAGUGGGGGAUAACCCGGGGAAACUCGGGAUAAUACCGCAUGACCUCUAGCUGCGAGAGUAGUUAGAGUAAAGGUGGUUAGCAAUAGCUAUCGCUUUUGGAUGAGCCUACGUCGGAUUAGCUAGUUGGUAGGGUAAUGGCCUACCAAGGCGACGAUCCGUAGCUGGUUUGAGAGAACGACCAGCCACACUGGAACUGAGACACGGUCCUGACUCCUACGGGAGGCAGCAGUGGGGAAUUUUGGACAAUGGGCGAAAGCCUGAUCCAGCGAUGCCGCGUGUGCGAUGAAGGCCUGCGGGUUGUAAAGCACUUUUGUUGGGGAAGAAAUGCUCGGGGCUAAUACCUUCGAGAGCUGACAUUACCCAAAGAAUAAGCACCGGCUAACUCUGUGCCAGCAGCCGCGGUAAUACAGAGGGUGCAAGCGUUAAUCGGAGUUACUGGGCGUAAAGGGCGCGUAGGUGGAUAUUUAAGUCGGUUGUGAAAUCCCUGGGCUUAACCUAGGAAUUGCAUUCGAUACUGAAUAUCUAGAGUAUGGUAGAGGAAAGUGGAAUUCU